rnacentral:rRNA from 1 species
UACGUAGGGCGCAAGCGUUGUCCGGAAUUAUUGGGCGUAAAGAGCUCGUAGGCGGUUUGUCGCGUCUGCUGUGAAAACCUGAGGCUCAACCUCGGGCUUGCAGUGGGUACGGGCAGACUAGAGUGCGGUAGGGGUGACUGGAAUUCCUGGUGUAGCGGUGAAAUGCGCAGAUAUCAGGAAGAACACCCGUGGCUAAGGCGGUUCUCUAGUACGGUACUGACGCUGAGACGCGAAAGCGUGGGGAGCGAACAGG